rnacentral:rRNA from 1 species
CAGCCGCACGGUAAUACAGAGGGUGCGAGCGUUAAUCGGAUUUACUGGGCGUAAAGCGUGCGUAGGCGGCUUCUUAAGUCGGAUGUGAAAUCCCUGAGCUUAACUUAGGAAUUGCAUUCGAUACUGGGAAGCUAGAGUAUGGGAGAGGAUGGUAGAAUUCCAGGUGUAGCGGUGAAAUGCGUAGAGAUCUGGAGGAAUACCGAUGGCGAAGGCAGCCAUCUGGCCUAAUACUGACGCUGAGGUACGAAAGCAUGGGGAGCAAACAGGAUUAGAUACCCGUGUAGUCCCUGUCUCUUAUACA